rnacentral:lncRNA from 1 species
ACAGACACAGCUGAGCCUGCUUCACCAUCUUCCGUAGUCCCAGGCUGUGCAAAGAGGAGGUAUAUCCAGCUAGUAUACUUUUUCCCUGGCCGAUUCAGUUGGCUAGAGCUCUUCAGGGACCACACUGCAAUUCUGGAUUUCCUGCCAGCUUGCUAGAAGAGCACUGGAGAUAGAGUCGGAUACGCUUUAAAGGACAAGGGAAAACAGCUCCCAGUGGAUGGUACACACAUGGCAAAAGGCCAAGAGUAGAAGCACCGUCAUUAGGAAAAGGAAUCAGCCAAGAUGGAAAAUAUGAGGUGCAGAGAAGUGAUGGAAAAAAGAGAAGAUCAGGAUUUCAGUUUUUUUCUGCAUUUCUCAUCAUCCCAUGAAGUCUCUUGAUAACAUAAGCCAAGUUUUCAUAUACCUUGACGUGUGUGAUACUUACGUGGUGCCAAGAACAAGAUGCAUACUCAAUAAAUAUUCAUCACUAUAGGCAAAAGCGGGCACAGAUGGAAAAUAAAAUUAUUUGAAGAGUCUUGCUCUGUCACACAGGCUGGAGCGUAGUGGCAUGAUCUCAGCUCAUUGCAACCUCUGCCUCCUGGGUUCAAGCAAUCCUCCUACCUCAGCCUCCUGAGUAGCUUGGACCACAG